CCUACGGGUGACAGCAGUGAGGAAUAUUGGUCAAUGGCCGCGAGCCUGAACCAGCCAAGUAGCGUGAAGGAAGACUGCCCUACGGGUUGUAAACUUCUUUUAUAAAGGAAUAAAGUGAGGCACGUGUGCCUCUUUGUAUGUACUUUAUGAAUAAGCAUCGGCUAACUCCGUGCCAGCAGCCGCGGUAAUACGGAGGAUCCGAGCGUUAUCCGGAUUUAUUGGGUUUAAAGGGUGCGUAGAUGGGUUGUUAAGUCAGUUGUGAAAGUUUGCGGGUCAACCGUAAAAUUGCAGUUGAAACUGGCAGCCUUGAGUACGGUUGAGGUAGGCGGAAUGCGUGGUGUAGCGGUGAAAUGCUUAGAUAUCACGAAGAACUCCGAUUGCGAAGGCAGCUUACUAAACUGCAACUGACACUGAUGCACGAAAGUGUGGGUAUCAAACAGGAUUAGAUACCCUUGUAGUC
rnacentral:rRNA from 1 species